rnacentral:lncRNA from 1 species
UUCCUUUUCUGUCCUUGUCUCCUGCCAACCCGCCGCUCAUUGUGGAGAGGGAAAGAGAGGAGAUGAGCAGAGCCGGUGCCCUGUCAUUUAGUGUUCAGACCCAAGAUUUGCAAGGCCUGAAUUGCAACUAGAGAGGCAACAAGUGACUCCUUAAAGAUGCCACAGGGCUGCAGAAGGGGACCUUGAAGAGGUUGAUGAAGUGAGAAGAAUGUUUCUCCCAACGACGAGAAGUAUGUCUAUAUUUUAACAAAAGUCUUGCUGAAUCCAGUACAAAGUCUGUUAUGCCUGAAAUGUGAUAGCCAUUUUUAGUUCUAUUAUUGUUACACAUUCUUUUUUUCAUGGUAGGGUGGUGGUAGUGGUGACUGAUGAUGAUGUCAUGGCUACAAGUCGCAUGUCACUUUGGUCUGCACCUCCAAAUGCCAGCAUACUUGCUUACACACUUAACAAUGCAUGGAAAGUAUUUCUCUCUAAACUUUCGUUUCUUUUUGUGUGCUAUUUCACCAGUGCACAUAUAUCUUUUAGUUUAUUAACAAAUAUUCAUAGUUGAAAUAUUCAACUUUGA